rnacentral:rRNA from 1 species
CGGCAGGCCUAACACAUGCAAGUCGAGGGGUAACGAUGGUGCUUGCACCAGUCGACGACCGGCGCACGGGUGAGUAACGCGUAUGCAAUCUACCUUUAACUGGAGGAUAGGCCGAAGAAAUUCGGAUUAAUACUCCAUAGAAUUACAAUAUCGCCUGAUAUUGUACUUAAAGCAUUAGCGGUUAAAGAUGAGCAUGCGUGCCAUUAGUUAGUUGGUGAGGUAACGGCUCACCAAGGCAUCGAUGGCUAGGGGUUCUGAGAGGAUGAUCCCCCACACUGGUACUGAGACACGGACCAGACUCCUACGGGAGGCAGCAGUGAGGAAUAUUGGUCAAUGGGCGCAAGCCUGAACCAGCCAUGCCGCGUGCAGGAAGACUGCCCUAUGGGUUGUAAACUGCUUUUCUACAGGAAGAAACUUUGCGACGAGUCGUGAAUUGCCGGUACUGUAGGAAUAAGCAUCGGCUAACUCCGUGCCAGCAGCCGCGGUAAUACGGAGGAUGCAAGCGUUAUCCGGAUUCAUUGGGUUUAAAGGGUGCGUAGGCGGAAUAGUAAGUCAGUGGUGAAAGGCUGCAGCUUAACUGUAGAAUUGCCAUUGAUACUGUUAUUCUUGAGUGUAGUUGAGGUAGGCGGAAUGUGUAAUGUAGCGGUGAAAUUGCUUAGAUAUUACACAGAACACCGAGUGCGUAGGCAGCCUACUAAACUAUAACCGACGCUGAGGCACGAAAGCGUGGGGAGCGAACAGGAUUAGAUACCCUGGUAGUCCACGCUGUAAACGAUGAUCACUCGUUGUUGGCAAUACAUCGUCAGCGACUGAGCGAAAGCAUUAAGUGAUCCACCUGGGGAGUACGUUGGCAACGAUGAAACUCAAAGGAAUUGACGGGGGCCCGCACAAGCGGUGGAACAUGUGGUUUAAUUCGACGAUACGCGAGGAACCUUACCUGGGCUUAAAUGUAGACUGCAUGUGGUGGAAACAUCACUUUCCUUCGGGACCGUCUACAAGGUGCUGCAUGGUUGUCGUCAGCUCGUGCCGUGAGGUGUCGGGUUAAGUCCCAUAACGAGCGCAACCCCUAUUGUUAGUUGCUAACAGGUCAUGCUGAGGACUCUAGCGAAACUGCCGCCCUAAACCGAGAGGAAGGUGGGGAUGACGUCAAAUCAGCACGGCCCUUAUGUCCAGGGCUACACACGUGUUACAAUGGUUGGUACAGAGGGCAGCUACCGGGCGACCGGAUGCUAAUCUCGAAAGCCAAUCUUAGUUCGGAUCGGAGUCUGCAACUCGACUUCGUGAAGCUGGAAUCGCUAGUAAU